UUUGACUCACCGGAUCCCGUACGAUCACCGAACUUAAACAACGUCGGGCCUAAUGAGGACCAAGAUGGGUGUCCCUUUGCGGAUAUCAGGUGCUGUCAG